GGAGAGGUGGCAGAGUGGUCGAAUGCACUGGUUUCGAAAACCAGCAGGGGGGGAAACCUCCUCGUGGGUUCAAAUCCCACCCUCUCCG
rnacentral:tRNA from 1 species